rnacentral:rRNA from 1 species
UAACGGAGGAAGGUGGGGACGACGUCAAAUCAUCAUGCCCCUUAUGACCUGGGCUACACACGUGCUACAAUGGUCUGAACAGAGGGCUGCGAAACCGCGAGGUGAAGCUAAUCCCUUAAAACAGAUCUCAGUUCGGAUUGCAGGCUGCAACUCGCCUGCAUGAAGUUGGAGUUGCUAGUAAUCGCAGAUCAGAAUGCUGCGGUGAAUGCGUUCCCGGGUCUU